UCAAGUUUUGUAAUUACAAGUUUUGUAAAACUUGUGUGAAUAAUACAUGAUAUUUAUUUGUUUAAAAUAUAAUGAUGUAGGAAUCAAUUUUUUAUAUGUGAUUUUCUUUCUUGGUAAUCAAAAAGUUAACUUGCAUGUUUGAUUGUUUUGGAGAUUUUUUUUCUUAAUGAGUGAUUCACCUUUGUUUAGAACCCUCCCAAGCUGGCUACUCCUCUAUUUGAUACUAAAAUGGCAGAGGACCCUAAGAUGACAUACAUAGACCUAGAUAAUCUUCAAAUUGUGUUUUGAACGAAGAGUAGUGUUUGGUCUUGCAUUGUGAUGGCGUCUGAGUGUUGGCUUGGUCUCUGUUGGCUUGCUACAUAUCUAGAAAGCUCCAUGAUUUGUGCUAAGCUCAAAAUAUCAGUAGAUUUGUUGUGGUAGUGCCUUAACAGGAUUUGAGACUUCUCCAUUCAGGAAAAGACAAGUCCGGUAGAUACAAAAAUUACAAGAUUGCAAGUUUGGAUUGAAGGUCACAAGAAAAAAAAUG